UCCGAAUCCGCUCACUAUGAUGAAGCGAUUCGAAUGAACAGCUCAUGAGCGGAUGGCACAUCUCUAGUUAUUAAGGGCUUUCUUAAAAUCGCCUGAAAACAGGAUAACGUUGAGGCAGAAGCAAUGUUGAUCCCGGUGCCAGCUUCACUUGGGAGAUCAAUUGUGAUUGGACAAGAAUCGGUAGUUUACCACGAUGACGAUUUUAAGCAGGCAAGUUGGUGCACAAGAGAUGAUGUAGCAUGUCUGGAAAUCUCAUCCUUGAACGAAAGUUCCGGCCGUUCGGAACUGGUUGUAAUAGGCUUGUGGUCCGACAUCUCUGCUUGUAUCCUUCGUAUGCUUGAAUUUGUUCACACUGAGAAACUCGGAGAAGAAAUCAUUCCUUGCUUUAUUUUGAUGGCUUACCUUCACUUUUUUCUUGUUUAUUGUGCGCCCUCGGAGGCGGUUCAGUAUUUUACUUCGUCGUGAGGAAAAAUGCUAACCGAUUAAAAGAACAAAACAAAAGUUAUGCUUGGAACCCAGCCGACUAUUCUAAAAACAUUCCGGUCACAUUCGACGACAAAGUGUUGGUUUUCUCGAAUUCAAUCUGAAGGACAAUCGAACGGUGCUGAUGGGUGAAUCACCACGUCGUCUCGCAUACCAGAAAGCUUCUCAAACGUUUGGUGUUAUAACGGUAUACUGUCACCAAUUUCUAAUAGCGAAUUCGUUUUUGUUCAGUUUCAACCCCAGUGCCGCACUAACUGCUGUCAAAACGUUUUUUUAUUCACUCAGUUUCGCACUCAGUGUCGCACUAGUUCGCCCCGAAAACUGUUAGUUUCGCACUGAGAUGUUUCACGGGUUGGCACUCGGGUUCACCAAUACAACUAUACUGAACUGUCAAGUUCCGAAUAUUAUUUUGGAAAAUCUAGAAAUAAAGACUAUGAAAAUGGAAAACCUGCUGCUUUUGCUUUUGUAUUAUUGGAAGCGUAAUCCAAUUCGGAUUCUGAUUUUGAAGAGUAUAUUCGAGUAGACGGCAUUAAGCUACGUGUGCUUUCAUUGGGAGGUGAAAAUAAUGAUGGAUAUUCAGGUGGAAUAAAUUUCAAAAUCAAAAUUAUGAAUGAAAAUUUACUUUAACGUAUCGAAUAUUUAUUUUAUGUGAUUAAAUAAGAGGAUUUUUCCGAUAUCGCAGAAACAUAUUGAACGAAAACUGUGUCUAAUGAUGAUUUUAUAUUAUAAUAGUAAUUAUUUGUGGAACAAACAGGAAAUUCAUCGACAAAUGGUUAAGUGAGUGUCAGAACUACAUGUGUUAGGUAAUCGAACAAUAUGAAGUACAAAUUUUCAUUCAAACUUUUAUAUGUUUACACUGCACUUGGCCCUUCUGAUCUGAUGGAGAACAAUUUACCUCCCAAGCACUAAUAUCACCACCAGACGUCGACACUGUACAUUUGCCGUCGUAAAUAUAAACAAAUCAGACUAUAUAACGUACACCAACAAACCAACGCAUUCGUGAAACUGAAAACGUUUUUUUUAUUACAGAGUCAGUUUGGCACUGACUCAGUUUUAAAAACGAAUUCGCUAUAAAUAACUUCAUUUUGGUGGGUGAUUAGAUGCCAUCUCUCACAAUGCUGCAUUACAAGCAAAUGGAAGGUUGUUGUGAGGAGAUCGCUCGCGUUUAUCAACCAAAUUGGAUGACAGCAGUAGUAAUAUUAGAUGAUGCGUUCGUUGGGUGGACAAAAGCAACUAUCUAUUUGUUUGCCUAAGAGAUAGGGUCACAACAACGGACGACGAAUGAAAACAAAUGCCAGAGGUUCCUCAAUACGGCCUUGGUAAAUGUAUUCUGCCACGGUUCGCUCGUGAUGCAAAACAUUGGUGAGCGAACGACGCCGACAACGAGGGCUGUGUGCUAUUUGGCACGGUAAGCGGUGCGAUCACAACUGAUGGUGGACUGAUCACAAAUAACGUUCGAUUAUUAUGAAUUUCUUCGAAAGUUAGAGGAAAGUUUAAUACAAUCAAAUCUGUUGGAAAGACUGAUUAAUCGUAUUGGCUUAGUUUCCAUACCAAAAUGGAAACGGGACGUUGCGAGGGAUUUAUUUAUGGAGACCUUGGAGACCUUGUAGAAAGUAGUAGGAAGUCGGGAAAUAAUAUACGAUGCAUUGGGAUUGCAGACCGACGUGGCUGAAACUAAAAAGGAAGUGGCCGUAGAUGAUAUAAUCAAGAUUGUAGAAGACCUAACACGGAUACAUCAAAAUGUCCAGUGAAUUUGAAUCGAUGCUAUCAGUUGUUUUCUGACACAAAUGCUAGCAGAAAGAGAAGUUAUACAUUUUUCUAAAAAAGUUGGUUAAUAAAUCAACUCAUUAAAAGAAAUGUUCGUACUGGAUGCUGGACGAACUAUAGAUCGA